rnacentral:rRNA from 1 species
GACGAACGCUGGCGGCGUGCUUAACACAUGCAAGUCGAACGGAAAGGCCCUGCUUUUGUGGGGUGCUCGAGUGGCGAACGGGUGAGUAACACGUGAGUAACCUGCCCUUGACUUUGGGAUAACUUCAGGAAACUGGGGCUAAUACCGGAUAGGAGCUCCUGCUGCAUGGUGGGGGUUGGAAAGUUUCGGCGGUUGGGGAUGGACUCGCGGCUUAUCAGCUUGUUGGUGGGGUAGUGGCUUACCAAGGCUUUGACGGGUAGCCGGCCCGAGAGGGUGACCGGCCACAUUGGGACUGAGAGACGGCCCAGAAUCCUACGGGAGGCAGCAGUGGGGAAUAUUGCACAAUGGGCGGAAGCCUGAUGCAGCAACGCCGCGUGCGGGAUGACGGCCUUCGGGUUGUAAACCGCUUUCGCCUGUGACGAAGCGUGAGUGACGGUAAUGGGUAAAGAAGCACCGGCUAACUACGUG